rnacentral:lncRNA from 1 species
UCAUAAUCAUGGGUGUUGUUGCUGUGCUCAUCCAUGUUGUAUGCAGUGCAUUUGAAGAUAUACUUGAAGCUGGCCACUUCAAAUCAAUUGCUGCUGGCACCGGUCGCCUGGCCAGAGCGCUUGCCAUUACUCUACUACUCAUAAUCUGCGUCCCAAAAAUUUGGUGGUUUCUUCUUUCGGCAUGGGUGUUGUUCUUUAUAUGGGUAACAUAUACUUUACGUGAGGAAUUGUCAAAAUUGUGUGAAUCGCUAUACAAUGCAGUUCGCCUUCGCCACGGCCAAGAGCCAAAUGAGUUGCCAGUGUAACCAUACCGAGCCAUUGAAGAGAAUUACGGUUGAUGAAAGACUGUAGUCUAUAUAUAUAUAUAUAUAAUUGCGUGGUGUGAUUGAAAUUACAAGUGCUAUUUUUACUAGUAUGGCCGCAACUUGGUAACGUUAUCUGUAAUAUAUUGUUUGAAUACUUGCUUUAAGAAAAAGAAAAUAAUCCAAAAUGCCUAUUUAAAGUAUGUAGAAGCUCCCGAGUUCUUGUUACUCUUUUUUAUCUUCACCAUCUCACAUCUCUCUUGCUACCUUCAACAAAAAAUUGUAGUUUAUUAUAUGUUGUUGACUUCCCUUUCCAUUAUUUAUCAAUUUUUAAUGGAUGGUGAUUUCUCUUUCUGCCUUAAUUAAUCAAUAUUUAUUAACGUAUUUGGAGUAAUUUAUUUAAUAGGAAAAUCAGGUUAAAAACGUAACUUAUUUUAAACUAAACAAAUUUUAUUACAUAGAAUUAAAAGGGCCGGGGAUUGGCCCAUGGAGACUACUUUAAUUUAUAUUGUUUGGUAUUAUGAUUUAAUCUGUUAUUUAAAUUGAUUUCGUGUUUAACAUAGAGAGAGAGAGAGAGAGAGAGAGAGAGAGAGAGACACACACACACACACACACCCCAAUGAAUCUGUAAAAUUGUCAUCCCAUUAACAUAGCUUCAAAUCAAUUGAAUUCAAAACAAUUUUGAGGAGGCAUUCCUAUUAUGCACCUGAUCAAUUUUGAUGAAUGUGCAUGUCUUUCUUCUUUUUCUCAAAAAGUAGGCAUAAUUCCUAUUUUGUACCUGAUCAAUAAGAAAAUCAACUUUAUUAGUAAUGUUUUUUUUAUCAUGGGAACCAAUCAAAACAUUUUUAAUGCAUGACAGGUAUAAUGGAAAUAUUAUGAAUAUAUCCGUCAUUAGUGUUUGAACUAAAAAUAUCACUCGCUCUCAUCAAUGUUUAAUAAUUAAUUCAAUACUGAGUCAAAUUUCCUGUCUUUUCUAGACCAACUGAUCAAUCUUGUGACUAUGCAUUUGCUCAUCUGAACUAAAAUAUCAUUCCUUCUUCAUAUUUUUCCAAGUUAAAUUAAAGAAAAUAAAAAUCUCAAUCAUUUAAUCUAGCACUGUCAGCACAUUAGUAUAUCUGUAACAAGAGCUCAAAUGAAGCUCUUGCACGACAUUAAUGAAGAAUUGUUUUGGAACCAAUGCGGUCAUUACAUUACGUUGCAAUAUUACCUCGCUAACAUCACUGUGCAAGUUCCCAUUAUUUAUUUUAAUGAAGACAUUACUCUAUAAAUAUGUUUAAGGGAUCAUAAGAAAGUGAUUAAGAGCUCUAGCUAAUAUAGGUUCUAGUUAGCACGUAGUAUUGCACAAACUUUAAGCCUGCACUACAUCAUUAAAUAGUUUUAUCGACGGAUUAAUUCUGUCGGUGUGAGACAUAAAAACCGUCGGCAAUACUUUUACCGACGGAUUCGCCGACGGAAUAAGUCCGUCGGAGGCAUGAUCAUCGGUAAUUUUUCUUUCCGUCGUCAAUUUUGUCGGUAAUUACAAAAAACCAAGCACCGACAGUAUUACAGAUGGCUAAGUACCAACGGAAUAAUUCCCGCGAGAAAUUUACCGACGGAAUAAUUCCAUCUAUAUUUUCAACGGUAAUUACCGACGGACUAUCCAUCGGCGAUUGUGGCAUGGGCGGUAAAUAUUUCAGACUUUGUCAAAUACCGACGGAAUACAUCCGUCGGUAAUAGUCAUGGUCAAUACCGAUGGAAUUGAUCCGUCGAUGAUUGCGGCACGGCCCGUAAAUUUUUUUCAACUCUCGGUAAAAUAUCAACGGCCUGGUUCCCUCUGUAAAGCCAUCGGUAUUUAUUUAAAAUAUUUAUUUAAAAAUUAUUUAUUAAUAGUAAUAAAAACUUAAUAACCAAAUAAAUUUGUAUUAAAUAUUAAAAAUGUAAAAAUAAUGUUAAAUAAUAUUCAUCGAAAUAUUCAUUACAAAUUUAAUGUUUUAAAAAACAAAAUUAAACUAAUUAAAAUAGCGGUGGAGCUGGAGGAGGAGGUUGGUUGUUGCCGGGACCGUACAGCCAAAAAGGAGCAGCACAUGGAUCAUCACCCAUCUUUGAUCUAAUCUCCAUGACCAUUUGAUGGAGUUUAGCAUAAUCCGUUGAGAGGCGUUCAUAUUAUUGUUUCAAGGCUAAGAACCCCUCUGACUGUGUGCUUGAUAUUGAUGGAGAGCUCUCAACGGUUGAGACACUACGGGCCGACCGUAAUUUUUCGGCCGUAGUGUUGGAGAGCCCUUAGACCCGAUUUUUAUCGGGUCCACUAGACGAUCUGACCUCCAUCCACAAGUCCAGAUCGAAAUUGAGAGGUCAUCCUUUCAUUGUGCCUGGUACUUGCUGUUAACAUAGGCAGUAGUUGUUAUUGAUAGAAAUACAGCUGAAAUAAGAGUGUAAUUAUAGGAUAAGUAUCUUCCUAUAAUUUAGGCCUAAAUUAUAGGAAUGUGAUGUAAAUCAGGAUUGAUGUAAAUCAGGAUUCCUUCCUAUUUAAGGAACGAGACUCUCAUGUAAAGGGAUGGAUUCAGCCAAUUUGACAUGGUAUCAGAGCUAUACCUUUGAAUUUGUAUUCCAAAAUCCGGUUCUUUCUUGUUGUUCUCGGUUUCUGGAUUAUUAUGGAUCAGUCCUAGAUACAUAGGACUCUCGGUCUCCUAGCUCUUUGCAAUCAGUCCUAGAUACAGAGGACUCUCAGUUUCUUGGUUCUUUUGGUUUGGUUCUCGGUUGUCAGCUGAGAUUUGUAUUCUCCUUGUUCUGUGAUUUUUUAUGUAUCACUACAAAGAUGUCAAACAAUUCUGAUCUGUUUGGUGUCCGAUUUACUGGGAAGAAUUAUUCUGCUUGGGAAUUUCAGUUUCAAGUAUUUGUCACAGGAAAAGAAUUGUGGGGUCAUGUGGAUGGGAGUGAUCCAGCCCCUACUGAUGCUACAAAACUGUCUUUAUGGAAGGUCAAGGACGCUUGGGUAAUGUCCUGGAUACUAGGGUCAGUUGACCCCCUCAUUAUUCUUAAUCUGAGGCCAUACAAAACAGCAAGAACCAUGUGGGAAUAUCUGAAGAAGGUUUACUAUCAAGAUAAUAAUGCUAGACGUUUUCAAUUAGAAAACGACAUCUCUAAUUAUUCUCAAAGCAAUCUUUCUAUUCAGGAGUAUUAUUCUGGUUUUCAGAACCUAUGGGCAGAAUAUACUGAUAUCAUUUAUGCCCAGAUUCCAGCAGAAUCCCUCUCGGUUAUUCAGAAGGUGCAUGAGUAGAGCAAGCGUGAUCAAUUUCUCAUGAAAUUGAGAUAUGAAUUUGAGAUUACUCGCUCGAAUUUGAUGAACCGAGCUCCCUUGCCUUCCUUGGAUGGUUGUUUUGGGGAAUUACUGCGGGAAGAACAACGAAUCCUUACACAAAGUACUCUAAAGCAGGACAACCCAGUUGCAGUUGCCUUUGCUGCCCAGGGAAGAGGUAGAGGCCGGAAUAUGGGCAAUGUUCAGUGUUAUAGCUGCAAGGAAUAUGGCCACAUUGCUAACAAUUGUAGAAAGAAGUUCUGCAAUUAUUGCAAACAUCAAUGGCAUAUUAUCAAGGAGUGUCCCACUCGCCCUCAAAACCGGAAAAUACAGGCCUUUCCAGCGGUGGUAUCUGAAAGCUCAUCUGUGACAGUCGCUACCAAUUCUCUUACUCUAGAAAUGGUGCAGCAAAUGAUCAUUACAGCCCUCUCGGCCCUAGGGCUACAAGGUAAUACUUCCAAUUCACAACUUUGGCUUGCUGAUUCCGCUGCUUCAAAUCAUAUGACCAACUCAUCUAGUAUGCUUAAGAAUGUGCGAGAGUAUCAUGGUUCAUCACAGAUUCAGGUUGCUAAUGGUGGUCAUAUACCCAUCACUAAAAUUGGAGAUAUUGAUCCCACCUUCACGAAUAUUUUUGUAUCACCGGAACUGUCUACUAGCCUUAUUUCAGUUGGUCAACUGGUGGAUGAUAACUGUGAUGUGCAUUUUUCUCGUAAUGGUUGUCUUGUGCAGGAUCAGGUGUCGGGGAAAGUAAUCGCGAAGGGGCCUAAAGUUGGACGCUUAUUUCCGCUGCAUUUUUCCAUUCCUAGUUGUCUUUCUUUUGCAUGCUCGAAUGUUCUAAAUAAAAGUGAAGUCUGGCAUAAACGUUUAGGCCAUCCAAAUUCUGUUGUUUUAUCGCGAUUGUUGAAUUCUGGUUUGUUGGGAAAUAAAGAUAAAUUUUCUUCUUUCGAUGCUUUGAUUGAUUGUUCAACAUGUAAGUUAGGUAAGAGUAAAACUCUUCCUUUUCCUUCUCAUGGUAGUCGUGCCACAAAAUGUUUUGAUAUUAUUCAUAGUGAUGUUUGGGGACCUUCACCGAUACUUUCUCAUGCUCAUUCCAAGUACUUUGUAACUUUUAUUGAUGAUUAUAGUAGGUUUACUUGGGUAUACUUCCUACGUUCCAAAUCUGAGGUUCUUUCCGUCUUUAAGACAUUUCUUGCCUAUGUUGAAACCCAAUUUUCUACUGGUAUUAAGGUAUUAAGAUCUGAUUCGGGUGGGGAAUAUAUGUCACGUGACUUUCAUGAUUUGUUACUACAAAAAGGCAUUAUUUCACAUCGUUCUUGUCAAUAUACACCUCAACAAAAUGGGGUUGCUGAGCGUAAGAAUCGACAUUUGUUGGAUGUCACUAGAACCUUAUUGCUUGACUCGUCUGUUCCCUCUAAAUUCUGGGUUGAAGCAUUGUCUACUGCUGUUUAUUUAAUCAACCGUUUGCCCUCCCAAGUGUUAAAUUUCGACUCCUCUUAUUAUCGUCUAUAUCAUGAGGCUCCUAGCUACUCUGAUUUGCAUACUUUUGGUUGUGUCUGUUUUGUUCAUUUGCCUUCUAAUGAACGCCACAAACUUUCUGCUUAGUCUGCUAAAUGUGCUUUUCUAGGUUAUAGUAUUUCUCACAAAGGUUUUGUUUGUUAUGAUCUAAGUUGUAGCAAAUUUCGUGUCUCUCGAAAUGUGGUCUUCUUUGAAAAUCAAUAUUUUUUCCCUACUGCUACUCCUGCUGCAUCUUCAUUGCAUGCUCUUAUUCUUCCUCAUUUUGAGGACAUGUCGUCAUUUGAGCGGUUUAAACCUGGAAUUAUGUAUGAAAGACGGUGCCUAAUUUUGGCUCUUCCGGAUACUAACCCACCAUCUGAUACUGCUUCUGAGACUGCUUCGGUACCUUCCCCUCUGCAGCCUGCUCUUCGUCGUUCUACGAGGGUUUCUUAUCCUCCUGAUAGGUUUGGUUUCUCUGCUACUCUAUCCAAUAUUAUUGUUCCAUCAUGUUACUCACAGGCUGUCCAGCAUGAGUGUUGUCAAACCGCCAUGCAGGAAGAACUUUGUGCGCUUCAGGAUAAUCAUACAUGGGAUCUUGUUUCAUGUCCUCUAUCGGUUAAACCCAUUGGGUGUAAAUGGGUAUAUUCCAUAAAGCUUCGCUCUGAUGGCACUCUAGACCGCUAUAAAGCUCGGUUGGUUGCUCUGGGGAAUCGACAAGAAUAUGGGGUGGAUUAUGAAGAGACUUUUGCCCCCGUAGCUAAAAUGACUACUGUGCGCAUUAUUAUUGCCAUUGCUGCUUCACAGGGUUGGCCACUUCAUCAAAUGGACGUCAAAAAUGCGUUUCUUCAUGGUGAUCUCAAAGAGGAUAUUUAUAUGGCACCUCCACCGGGUUUGGUUUCAUCUUCUAAAUCGGUUGUUUGUAAAUUGAAGCGGUCCUUUUAUGGUUUGAAACAAGCUCCCCGAGCAUGGUUUGAUAAGUUUCGCACUACCUUGCUUCGCUUCUCUUUUGUGCAAAGCAAAUAUGAUUCUUCAUUAUUUCUUUGCACAACAUCUACUAGGUAUGUUUUCCUACUUGUUUAUGUCGAUGACAUUGUCAUUAUAGGCACUGAUUCGACAUUGAUUAACAGACUUCAGCAACAUCUUCGGGAUUCCUUUCAUAUGAAGGACCUUGGUUCUCUCACUUACUUCUUGGGUUUGGAGGUUCAUUCUUCCCCUUCUGGUAUUUAUGUGCACCAACAGAAAUACACUCAUGAUUUGAUUGCUUUGGCCGGUCUUCAAGCUUCUUCUCCAGUGGAUACUCAUUUGGAGGUGAAUGUUAAGUUUCAAAGUGAUGAUGGGGAUCUUCUUCCUAAUCCAUCUUUGUAUCGACAACUUGUUGACAGCUUGAAUUAUCUUACUAUUACUUGACCUGAUAUCUCCUUUGCAGUUCAGCAAGUCAGUCAAUUUAUGCAAUCUCCUCAUCAUCUACACUUAGCAGCAGCCCGUCGCAUCAUUCGAUAUCUACUUGGUUCUUCUAACUGUGGUCUAUUCUACCCAGCUGGAUCUCCUAUUAGUCUUGUUGCAUACAGUGAUGCCGAUUGGGCUGGUUGUCCUGAUACCAGACGCUCUGUUACAGGUUGGUGUAUGUUUCUUGGUGAUUCCUUGAUUUCUUGGAAACGUAAGAAACAAGAUCGAGUCUCCAAAUCCUCCACCGAAUCUGAAUAUCGCGCCAUGUCCGCUGCCUGCUCAGAAAUUGUUUGGCUUCGUGGCCUGCUUGCCGAGAUGGGAUUUCACCAGACUACUCCUACUCUCCUCCAUGCAGACAACACGAGUGCUAUUCAGAUUGCUACGAAUCCCGUCUUCCAUGAGCGCACCAAACAUAUUGAAGUGGAUUGUCACUCUAUCCGCGAAGCUGUUGAUGCUCAUGUUAUUUCUCUUCCACAUAUCUCCACCGAUCUCCAGAUUGCUGACGUGUUCACCAAAUCCAUGACUCGACAACGACAUCAGUUUUUGGUUGGCAAAUUGAUGCUUAUUAAUCAUCCAGCAUCAAUUUGAGGAGGGAUGUUAGCAUAGGCAGUAGUUGUUAUUGAUAGAAAUACAGCUGAAAUAGGAGUGUAAUUAUAGGAUAAGUAUCUUCCUAUAAUUUAGGCCUAAAUUAUAGGAAUGUAAUGUAAAUCAGGAUUGAUGUAAAUCAGGAUUCCUUCCUAUUUAAGGAACGAGACUCUCAUGUAAAGGGAUGGAUUCAACCAAUUUGACACUUGCAGGUGAAUUGACCCCGCUGUGAAGGCACACCGCCUCUGAGCUGUGAAACCGCGCUAGAAGUGGCGGCAUCACAAGUUGGCGCAGAUGCAUCGCCGUGAUCAGCACCUAAGAAGAUGUCCUCCUCGCUGCUAGAAGAACUAGCUGCAACCGUAUGCUGACGACGUGCUGUAGAUUUCAUUCGACGCAUCUACACAAAUGUAUAUGAAUUAUAACAUAAUUAACUUUGAUUAUUUAAAAACAAUUCAGCAGCACCUCCCCUAUACUGGAGACUACCUACAGUUUUCAAAACUGCAAUCUUUACAAUAACCACAAUCCAUAUAAUCUCCAGCAACAUCAUAUAUACAACCUAAUAUCUAUAGAAAUUCAAUCAUUAAAAAAAAUUCGACAGCACCUCCCCUAUUUUGGAGACUACCCACAGUUUUCAAACCUGCAAUCUUUACAAUAACCACAAUCCAUAUAAUCUCCAGCAACAUCAUAUAUACAACCUAAUAUCUAUAGAAAUUCAAUCAUUAAAAAAAAUUCGAUAGCACCUCCCCUAUAUUAGAGACUACCCACAGUUUUCAUACCUAUAAAUAUUGAUAAUUACACAAAUAUUGCAAAAUCAACUCUAUACAACCUAACAUCUAUAGAAAUUCAACGUCUAUAUAUUUUCAACUACCAUCAAUACAAAUUCAUAAAUAACAAUUAAAAUUAAUCAAAAUAAGAAACAACAUAACUAAAAAAAAUAAAUAGAAUGAAAAAAUAAAAAAACUAAUUAAAUUUAAUUCUAUAUUUCAAUUCACAUUUAAAACAUAAAAUAAAAUGAAAAAACUAAAUAACACUACACAAAACAUCCUAAAUACAAAACAAACAAUACACAAAACUAAAAAAACACUACAUCAAUUCAAAAUAAAUUUAGGAAUAAAAAAAUUGCUUACCUUAAAGUGUGUUGAUUUUAAGAUUUUAUCUACAAACAAUACACAAAACAAAGAACACCAAAAAAAUAAUGAUAAUUAAAAUAAAAAAAUAAAAAAAAUACAAAGAUAAAGAAAAAAGAUUACAUACCUUUUAAUAUGUUUAAAACUACCACCACAACAAUAAAAUCUCUUUCAAAAACUAAACUCAAACGGAGAGGAGAAGAGAAAUAGAGAUGAGAGCCGAGAGAAAAAAUGAACCAAAUGGGGGGGUUUUAUAUACCAAUUUUUCUGACGGUAUUACGACAGACCAUUAAUUGUUGUCGGUGGCAUUAAAUUCCGUCUGUAAUUUCUGCCGGUAAUAAAUUGAUAUUCGCACCAAAAAUUUUGAAAAUCCCGCCUGACUUUUCGAUCCGUCGGAAACAGUGCCGCCUGCAAUUCCAUCGAUAAGCGUGCUGACCGACCACGCCUCUGACAGGCGUGCACUUCGGGAUGUGCGCUUUCCAUCGGUGUACCCGUCGGUAAUUGUGGUACAAGUCCGUAAUUUUUUUCCAACUCUCGGUGAACUACCAACGAGUACCAAUCCAUCGGUGUACCCGUCGGUAAUUAUGGCACAAGUCCGUAAUUUUUUUCCAACUCUCGGUAAAAUACCGACGGGUACCAAUUUGUCGGUGUACCCCUCGGUAAUUUUACCAAUCCGUCGAUGUACCCGUCGGUUUUUGUGGCACAAGUCCGUAAUGUUUUUCCAACUCUCGGUAAAAUACCUGAUUAGAGACCAAAUACAAUGUCACCGUACUCUGACACAACAUCAAGCAAUUCUUCACCGGAAAGACGCGGGGGUGCAACAUCCUUUUCAACUCUACCAACAAAGAAAUCAUUUCUGUUCUUUUUGUACCUAUGAUUCAGCGGCAAGAAACGACGGUGACAGUAAAAAAAAGAAGCUUUACCCCCGUUUGUUAGCGUGAAUGCCUUGUUGUUCUCCAUACAGUAUGGACAUGCUAGCUUUCCAUGCGUACUCCAACCAGAAACCAUUCCAUAAGCUGGAAAACCAUUGAUAGUCCACAUCAAAGCCGCUCUCAUAACAAAAUUAUGUUUCCUCGAGAUGUCAUAAGUCACAGCUCUAGAGAACCACAACUGCGUCAACUCAUCAAUCAACGAACGAAGACAAACAUCUAUAUUCCGACCCGGACAACUCGGACCUGAUAUGACUAUAAAUAAAAACAUGAACUCCGGCCUCAUACACAUCCCCGGUGGCAAGGUAUAAAUCAUCAGCAUGACCGGCCAACAAGAAUAAGAAGCAGCAAAUGACCCGAAUGGGUUAAAUUCGUUUGUACACAACCCAAGACGCACGUUCCUUGAUUCAGCUGAAAAGUGAGGAUGCACAAUGUUAAAGUGUUUCCAGGCUUCACCGUCAGAAUGAUGCACCAUCACUCCAUCAACCGCAUGAUGUGAUUGUCAUGUCAUGUGCUCAGCAGUCCUUGGUGACAUGAAUAACCUCUGCGGUCUAGGCGUGAUUGGGAAGUAUCUAAGUUUUUUAUAUGCCACGAGAGUCUUCCCUCUACCAGUUCUGGGUUUGUAACGGGAAUGCCCACAUGUCAUGCACUCAGUCAGCUCAGCAUUUUCAAGGUAGUAUAACAUGCAGAAGUUAGGGCAAAUGUUAAUUUUCAAGGUAGUAACCUAAACCGAGGGGUUUCAUCAUGAACUUGGCAACAUAGAAGUUCUCUUUCAGCCUGUUCCCUUCAGGUAAAAUGCUUCUCGCCCAUUCGAUAAUCUUGUCAUAACCGGCCUCACUCAACUCGUGAUCUGACUUGAUGGUGAACACCUGUGCUACGACCGAUAAUUUACUGUGGUUUGUGCAGCCAUCCCAUAAUAGUUCGUCAAAAUCUUUCAACAGAUCAAAAAACUUUGCUGCAUCUGCAUUAGGUUCUUCUUCUACGAUUGGAUAUUCACUGACAUUACCUUCACUCAUUCUCAUUGCAUCCAUAACCAUAUUCCUGUAAGGAUUACUGUUCUCAUUUCCAACUUCAUGCAUGUUGCUAGCACUAGAAGUUGACCCGACCACCCUUUCAACCAUGCUCUCAUUAGGAACAAAUAGUUCUCCAUGUGCAUACCAACACAGGUAAUCCUCCAUGAACCCUUUCGUUAGAAGAUGCAUCGUUACAACAUCUUGAUGCAGAAACUUUAAUUUUUUACACUUCUGGCAUGGACAUCUAAUACCGCGAUCAGUAAAAUUUCUUGGGAUAGAUGUUGCAAAAUUAAUAAAACCCUGAACACCGUUACAAUAAUCCAUCCUCCGCAAUCCUUGGGGUGAGUCCCGGUACAUCCAUGAACGAUCAUCCAUGACUUCUAUUGAAUCUCUAUAAAACAUAACAAAAAUAUUGGUUUCUUAUGUUAAAUAUUCAUUAUCAAUUAUCCAACAAACUAAAAAAACACUUAUGUUAAAUAUUCAUUAUCAAUUAUCAACUAUCAACGUUCAUACAUACAAAUUUAUACAUAUAUAAAUUUACAGAAAUCACAACUUCGCAAUAGAAUUGAUAACAAUUAAAACAGACCCGUUAAACAAGCUAUUAUUUAUUUCAUCACAACACAUCUAAUUCGGUGUAAUUCAAACAAAAUUUCAACAAUUUACAAACAAAUACAAUUUGACAAAAUCUAAAACAAACUAUAACAACUACAAAAUUAUACAUUCAUACUACAAGUUUCUUCGACAAAUAACAAUCAAACCAGUACAUACGUUAACAAAAUACAUAUACUAAAAACAAUAAAAUUCACAUUUAAAUGUUAAAACUAAAAAGGAUAGAUUUACUUACAAAAAAUAAUAAAAUCCACAAGAACGGAUGUUGUGACCACGUACAAACGUAUAAGAAACUUGAGUGCUUGUGUUGAGAAGAGGGGAGAGUUGGGAUGGGUGGUUGGCUGCAGUUUGGGAGGGGAGAGGUGGGAUAGGGAAGAAGAAGGAGAAACAGAGGAAGAGAGUGUCGGCAGAGUGGGUAUAUACUGGCUUUUACCGAUAGAAUCACCGACGGCCACGUUUCGUCGGUAUACCUGUCGGUGAUUCCGCCGGUGGAAGUGUCACGUCGUUGUACGGCUAUCCCAGUUUGAAUCCCUCGGUAAUGUCGUUGGUAAAAUCAUCUGAAAAAAUUCACGUCAUCACGCCGUUGCAACUUAAAAAAAAAAAAGGUGUCUUGGCCGUCGGCGAUACAGUCGGUAUAUACCGACAGACGUAUUUCGUUGGUAUAUACCGACCGUCUCCCCGACAGAAUAUAUCGGUCAGUAAAUACCGACAGAUUUUGAGACGGAAUUAUUUCCGUCCGUAAAAAUUUCUGACGAAAAAUAUUCCGUCGGUAAUUUCGUUGGUGUUAUCUGAUUUUCUGGUAGUGGUGCUUAUAUAUUGUGGUCAAAGCUUCCCUACCCAUUUUCGUUAAUACUAUACCGAUGGUUGAGCUCAUCAUAAACAAACUGCUAACCUCCGCAGACAUCAGAUGCCGUCUAGCAUACCCUACAAAAAAUCUGUAGGCUUUCCCAAUGCCCACAGGGAAACAUAAUGUCUAGUUCAGAGUAACAGACACCCUUGGGCAAGCAUGGAACCCUAAGCUGUCUGUUCGGAUUCAUGGCCCUUACAAGAAACCUGUCAUCACAGGUGAUUGGUUACAGUUCUCUCGCAAAAAAGGCCUCGCGGUGGGAGACAGAAUCGUUCUGAGCAGGGAGAUCGAUGGGAAAAAUGGAAAAGGAUACAGCAUUAACACCCAAAGGAGGAUAUUUAAUGGUCGGGUCAAUGGUGAGCAAUGAGUAGUCGCCUACUCCAUGUCUUCUGUUUUAAAUUUAUGAUCUAUGCUUUGUUGUGCUGCCCGACUCUCAUAAGAAUUAAUAAAUUUUCUUCCCUUUCUCUAUCCAGCCAGAAAAGAGGGAGGCUGCCUUAUCUCAUAUAUAUAAUCGUACCCUUUUCAUUUUAGAUUAUGUGUGACAAAAUGCUUUUUUGGUGUUAUAUAAUGUGCAGGCAGCAUUAUAUGAUGCAAUGAUGAAGUAAUAUGACUUUUAGAAACGCGUUUGAACGACAUUUUAAAAAAAAAUUAUAUUUUUGAAUUUUUUGGAUAUAUUAAAAUUAAAAUUAUUUUUUUAAAAAAAUUAUUUUAAUAUAUUUUUAAAUAAAAAAUAAUUUUAAAAAUAAUUUUUGUUAUUCUCUCCAACACCUAUAAAUAAUAAUUUCUAUGAAUUGCUGCAGGUACGGCAUUAACUAAGAGCGUGUUUGGCAGUGUGGUUGCGGGUGCUUUUGAAAUAGCUUUUCGUGCCGAAAUGCAUGCCAAUGAUGUUUUUUUAUUUUUUAAAAAUUAUUUUUGACAUCAGCACAUCAAAACGAUCCAAAAAGUACAAACCGCACUCAAUUUUAGCAAAAAAAAAAAAUCAAAUUUGGACGAAACGCAGGUACAAACGCAAUACCAAACGUUCUCUUAGGAACUACGAGUAUUUUUUAGAACACGGUUGAAACCGUAUUUUUUUAAAAUUUAAAAUUUAUUUUUUUUGUUAAAAAUUAUUUUUUUAUAUUUUUAGAUUUUUUUGAUGUCCUAAUAUCAAAAAUAAUUUUUUUAAAUAAAAAAACAUCAUCUUAAUACAUUUAUAAAUAAAAAAUAAUUUAAACCACAAACAUUAUCACAAUCUCAAAUAGUCUAUUAAUUACCUUGACCUUUAGAAUUUGAUCACUCACAUUAUAUUUCAAGAAUCAAAACAUAUUUUUAAAAAAAAAAAUCAAAACAUAUUUAAUUAGUAUGUUGUAUGUUCAAAGUUUUCUGUAAUCACAGGUAAUGUGUUAGGUACUGUGUUUAAAUAAUGUUUUUUAAAAAUUUUAAAUUUUUUUAUUUUAAAUUAAUAUAUUUUUAAUAUUUUUAAAUCAUUUUGAUAUGCUAAUCUUAAAAAUAAUUUUUAAAAAAAUAAAAAAAUAUUAUUAAUAUAUUUUUUUAAUAAAAAAUACUUUAAAAAUUAAUUGUAAGCACACUAUUAAUGUAAAUAUACAAAGAAAACCAUCUAGGUGGUGGCCCAGUGAUAAGAGCUUGAGACUAAGAAAUUUGCUUCCUCUGUGGUCUCAGGUUCGAGCCUUGUGGUUGCUCAUAUGAUGGCCACUGGAGGUUUACAUGAUCGUUAACUUCAGGACCCGUGAGAUUAGUCGAGGUAUGCGCAAGCUGACCCGGACACUUAAACUAAUAUAUAUAUAUAUAUAUAUAUAUAUAUAUAUAUAUAUAUAUAUAUAUAUAUAUAUAUAUAUAUAUAUACAAAGAAGCUUGGCCCAUUUAUAUCAUGACGUUCAUGCUGAUCCCAAAAACCACUUGAUGCGACUUAAUUUCUUCAUUUGAGAAAAAGCAAAUCAAGAAAAAAGAAAGCAUAAAAAGCCGUGCCAGCUGAUAUCUUUUCAAAGCAUCACAAUAUCAAAUUAUCGGCACCCAACUUAAGACCCUACGUACAACAAUAAUUUGUAAUCAUAUUAUUAUUAUUAUUAUUAUUAUUAUAUUAUUAUAAUAUAUACUAAAACAGCUCAGUAUUUUAUUAUCCAAGUCUUCAAUGAAAUACUAGCAGUCUGUUUUUUUUUUUUCUUAAACUGAGCUGUUUUUUUUUUUUUUUUUUUUUUGAGCUGUCUUUUUUUUAAUGUCUUUCAAGGUUUUUUUUUACUUCUUUCUUUGUUUGUUUCUUUUAAUAUUUUUUUUUGUUUAAUUUAAUUUAUUAAUGUUAAAUUAUUUUUAUUUAGUUAUUAGACUUUCAUUACACGGAUCCCGGGUUUAACAGGUUAACUUGGUUUGACAAGUUAACCCAGAUUUUUUUUUGUUUUUUUUGUUUUUAAUUAAUUUCUUUUGUUUACUUUAGUUUGUUAAUGUUAAAUUUCUUUCUAUUUAGUUAUCAGAAUUUCAUGACACAUAUCCCAGGUUUGACGGGUUAACCUGGUUUCACUGGUUAACCCAUUUAUUUUUUUUGUUUUUUUUCUUUUAAUAAAUUUUUUUUAUUUAAUUUAGUUUGUUAAUGUUAAUUUUUUUUAUUUAGUUAUCAGACUUUCAUGACACGGAUCCCGGGUUUAACGGGUUAACCUGGUUUGACGAGUUAACCCGGAGUUUUUUUUUUGCUUUUUUUCUUUUUAAUUAAUUUUUUUCGUUUAGUUUAGUUUGUUAAUGUUAAAUUUCUUUCUAUUUUGUUAUCAGGCUUUCAUGACAUAUAUCCCGAGUUUUAUGGGUUAACCUGAUUUCACGGAUUAACCCAGUUAAUUCUGAGUUAACCCGUCAAUUUUUUUUUCUAUUUAGUUAUCAAACUUUCAUGACGCGAAUCCCGGGUUUGACGGGUUAACCUGGUUUGAAGGGUUAACCCAAUUAAUUCAGAUUUUUUUUCUUUUUCUUCAUUAGUUUUUUUCUUCAUGUUGGUUUUUAUUCAUUAGUUUUUCUUUUUUUAAUUAAUAUAUUUAAUUAUCACACUUUUAUAACACGACCUUGCAGCUAGACCUGCAUCCAAAGCUCUUGGGUCUGGUGUUGCAGCCAGACUCACUUAAACUUGAGUCAUGUAAGUUAAAUAUUAUUAUUAUUAUUAUAAAUAUUAUUAUUGGGUCAAGCAUUGCAGCUAUAGCCAAGGCUUUUGGGUAUCUAUUUACAGAAAAACCUAACACUCUUAGACCUUAGCUUUUUUUAUAUUUUUUAUGCAAGAAAAAAAAUAACCCGUGGUGCAUGCCUUUGUUUUUUUUCCUUUCCUUUUCCUUUUUAAGCCUUUUACUGUGGAUUGCACAGUGCAGUCCACAGUGAAAAAGUUGAUGCCUUUAGUUUUUUUUUGCCUUUUUGUGUGUUUUUGUUUAGUAAUUAAUUUUUUUAAUUUACUUUCUUAAUAUUAAAUUUUUUCUAUUUAAUUAUCAUACUUUUAUGACACGGAUCUCAGAUUUGAGGGGUUAACCCAGUUGAUUCAGAUUUUUUUUCUUUUUCUUCAUUAGUUUUUUUCUUCCCGUUGAUUUUUUCCUCUUUGCUUUUUCCUUUUUAAUUAAUCUUUUUUUUUUAAUUUAGUUCAUUAAUAUUAAAUCUUUUUUCUAUUUAGUUAUCAUAUUUUCAUGACAAGAAUCCAGAUUUGACGGGUUAACCUGAUCUGGCGGGUUAACCCAGUUGAUUCAGAUUUUUUUUCUUUUUCUUCAUUAGUUUUUUUCUUUCAAUUUUUUUUUAUAUUGUAUGCAGUACUCAGUGAAAAGGCUGAUGCCUUUAGUUGUUUUUUUUUCUUUUUUUUUCUUUUUAUGCCUUUUCACUUUGGAUUGCACAAUGCAGUCCACGGUGAAAAGGCUGAAACCUUUUUCUUCUUUUUUUAUUAAUUUUUUUUUAAUUUAGGUUGUUGAUAUUAAUUUUUUUUCUAUUUAGUUAUCAGACUUUUAUGACAUGGAUUUCAGGUUUGACGGGUUGACCCAGUUAAUAUAGAUUUUUUUUCUUUUUCUUCAUUAGUUUUUUUUCUUCUUAUAGGUUUUUUUCCUUUUAUUUUUUCUUUUUAAUUAAUAUUUUUUUUGUUUAAUUUAGUUCAUUAAUAUUAAAUUUUUCUCUAUUUAGUUAUCGACUGAUGCCUUUAGUUUUUCUUUCUUUUUCUUUUUCUUUUUUUGUUGUUUUUAUAGCGUUGACUGUGGAUUGCACAGUGCAGUCCACAGUAAAAAGGCUAGUGCUUUUUGUUUGUUUUUGUUUUUUUUCCUUUUUAAUUAAUUUUUUCUUUUAAUUUGGUUUGUUUAUGUUAUUUUUUUUAUUUAGUUAUAAGACUUUCAUGACACGGAUCUCAAGUUUGACGGGUUAGCCCAGUUAAUUCAGAUUUUUUUUCUUUUUCGUCAUUAGUUUUUUUCUUCAUAUAGGUUUUUUCUUCUUUUUUUUCUGUUUUUAAUUAAUUUUUUUUAAGAUUUAGUUUGUUGAUAUUAAAUUUCUUUCUAUUUAGUUAUCAGACUUUCAUUACACGGAUCUCAGGUUUGACGGGUUAACACAGUUAAUUUAGAUUUUUUUUUCUUUUUCUUCAUUAGUUUUUUUCUUCCUAUAGGUUUUUUUUUUUCUUUUAACCCAAUUAGUUUUUUUUUUCUUUUUGCUUUUUCGCCGUUUCUAUGCCUUUGACUGUGGACUGCACACUGCAGUCCACAGUGAAAAAGCUGAUGCCUUUUAUUUUUUUCCUUUUUAAUUAAUUUUUUUUUGUUUAAUUUAGUUUGUCAAUGUUAAAUUUUUUUUCUAUUUAGUUAUCAAACUUUCAUGAUACGGAUCUCAGAUUUGACGGGUUAGCCCAGUUAAUUCUGGGUAACCCGUCAAUUUUUUUUUUAUUUAGUUAUCAAACUUUCACGACACAAAUCCAAGGUUUGACGAGUUAACCUGGUUUGAAGGGUUAACCCAGUUAAUUCAUAUUUUUUUUCUUCAUUAGUUUUUUUCUUCAUGUUGGUUUUUUUUCUAUGUUUUUUUUAAUUAAUCUAUUUAAUUAUCACACUUUUAUGAUACGACCUUGCAGCCGGACCCACAUCCAAGGCUAUUGGAUCUGAUAUUGCAGUCAGACCCACUUAAACUUGGGUUAUCCAAGUUUAAUAUUAUUAUUAUAUUAUAAAUAUUACUCUUGGGUCAGGCGUUGCAGCCAAACACAAGGCUCUUGGAUAUAACUUUGCAAAAAAACUUAAAACUUUUAGAUUUUAACUUUUUUUAUAUUUUUUAUACAAAACAAAUAGACUCACGGCAACGCGCGGGUCAUCUAACUAGUAACAUAUUCUAAAACGCAUGGGAAAUUACUGUAGUUUUCCCACGCGUUUUACACUCUCUCUAUUAUUAAUAUAUUAUAUUAUUAUAACUAUUAUUAUAUUAUAUUAUAUUAUAACAUAUACUAAAGAGUAAAUAAAAUGCUGAACUUUUUUUUAAUUUUUUUCUUUUAAUGAAUUGUUUUUUGUUUAAUUUAGUUUGUUAAUGUUAAAUUUUUUUAUUUAGUUAUCAGACUUUCAUGAAACGGAUCCCGGAUUUGAUGGGUUAACCUAGUUUGACGAGUUAACCCGGAAUUUUUUUCUAUUUAAUUAAUUUUUUUCGUUUAGUUUAGUUUGUUAAUGUUAAAUUUUUUUCUAUUUAAUUAUCAGACAUUCAUGACACGUAUCUCGAGCUUGACGGGUAAACCCAAUUAAUUCUGGGUAAACCCGUCAAUUUUUUUUCUAUUUAGUUAUCAAACUUUCAAGACGCGAAUAUCAGGCUCGACGGGUUAACCCAGUUAAUUCAGAUGUUUUUUCUUUUUCUUCAUUAGUUUUUUCUUUGUUUUUUUAAUUUUUAAUUAUCACACUUUUAUGACACGACCUUAUAGCUAGACCCACAUCCAAUGCUCUUAGGUCCGGUGUUGUAGCCAGACUCACUUAAACUUAAGUCAUGUAAGUUUAAUAUUAUUAUUAAUAUUAUAAAUAUUAUUCUUGGGUCAAGCAUUGCAGCUAGACCUAAGGUUUUUGGGUAUAACUUUGAAGAAAGUCCUAACACUCUUAGAUCUUAGUAUUUUUUGAUAUUUUUUAUGCAAGAAAAAAAAAUUAACUUGUGGCGUAUGUCUUUGUUUUUUUUCCUUUUUCUUUUCCUUUUUAAGCCUUUUACUGUGGACUGCACGGUGCAGUCCACAGUGAAAAAGCUUAUGCUUUUAGUUUAUUUUUUUUUCUAUAGUUUCUUAGUAUUAAAUUUUUUCUGUUUAAUUAUCAGGCUUUCAUGACACGGAUUCCAGCUUUGAUGGUUUAACCCUUUUGAUUCAGAUUUUUUUCUCUUUUUUCAUUAGUUUUUUUUUCCUGUAGGUUUUUUUCUCUUUGCUCUUUUCUUUUUAAUUAAUCUUUUUUUUAAUUUAUUUCAUUAAUAUUAAAUCUUUUUUCUAUUUAGUUAUCACACUUUCAUGACACGAAUCUCAGGUUUGAUUGGUUAACCUGAUUUGGCGGGUUAACCCAGUUGAUUUAGAUUUUUUUUUCUCAUUAGUUUUUUUCUUCCGAUUUUAUCUUUUAAUAUUGUAUGCAGUCCACAGUGAAAAGGCUGUUGCCUUGUUUUUUUUUGCUUUUUUUUUCUUUUUAUGCCUUUCACUGUGGACUGCACGGUGCAGUCCACGGUGAAAAGGCCGAUGCCUUUUUUUUUUUUUCUUUAGUUUGUUGAUAUUAAAUGUUUUUCUAUUUAGUUAUCAAACUUUAAUGACACGGAUCUUAGAUUUGACGGGUUAACCCAGUUAAUUUAGAUUUUUUUUUCUUUUCUUCAUUAUUUUUUUCUUCUUAUAAGUUUUUUUUUCAGUUAUUUUUUCUUUUGAAUUAAUAAUUUUUUUAUUUAAUUUAGUUCAUUAAUAUGAAAUUUUUUUCUACUUUCUGGUUAAUGCCUUUUUUCUAUGUUGUUAUCUUAGGUUUGGCUAAUUAGAGAAAUUUUUUUUUCUUUUUGCUUUUUUGCCGUUUUUAUGCUUUUGACUAUGGAUUGCACAGUGCAAUCCACAGUGAAAAGGCUAAUGUUUUUUGUUUGUCUUGGUUUUUUUUUUAUUUUAAUUAUUUUUUUGUUUAAUUUAGUUUGUUAAUGUUCAAUUUUUUUCUAUUUAGUUAUCAAACUUCCAUGACACGGAUUCCGAGUUUGACGGGCUAGUCCAAUUAAUUCUAGGUAACCCGUUAAUUUUUUUUCUAUUUAGUUAUCAAACUUUCACGACACGUCCAAGGUUUGACAAGUUAAACUGCUUUGAAGGGUUAACCCAAUUAAUUCUGAUUUUUUUCUUUUUCUUCAUUAGUUUUUUUCUUUCUGUUAAUUUUUUUCUUUGUUUUUUCUUUUUAAUUAAUCUAUUUAAUUAUCACACUUUUAUGACACAACCUUGCAGCCAGACCCAUAUCCAAGGUUAUUGGGUCUGGUAUUGCAGUCAAACCCACUUAAACUUAGGUCAUACAAGUUUAAUGCUAUUAUUAAUAUUAUAAAUAUUACUUUUAGAUCAGGCGUUGCAUCCAAACCCAAGACUUUGAGGUAUAGCUUUGCAGAAAAACCUAACACCUUUAAAUCUUAAUUUUUUUGAUAUUUUUUAUGCAAAAAAAUUAACCCGCGGCAUCAAGCGGUCAUGUAACUAGUUCUCUCUAUUUUCCAGCGACUGACUCUUUAUCUUUCUCUGUUGUUUAUUCAUGGCAAAAGGUGAUAUUUUCAAAAGAGGACUUGAACUCCCUAGCGGAUGCUUUUAUUUGAAUAUAUAUAUAUAAUCAACGGAUACUCUUUCUCUUUUCCUUUCUUUUUUAUUCUUUCACGAUUUAAAAUUCUCAUGGGAGAUAUUGGAAAGUCAGCCAUGGCAACGUUUUUCCUGUAGAUUUUCUUGAGUUGUUCUGUUUGUGCUGCAAACAAAAUACAACUAUUUAGGUGUAUAUUAAUUCAGAUAAGUUGUUAGAUUUGUGGAUUGUGAUCUCCAAUCUCUUUGUUGAUGUUCAGCUUUUGAAUCAGCACAGGCAUAAAUCUCAUGAAUAUGCAGUUUUGCGGUUCUCUAUGCUUGUACCUUUUCUACGAGGGUCAUGUCAUGCAGAAGAGCAAAAUUCUGGGCUAAGUAGGUUGCCUGUGCAGCUUGGCCGACCCGUUGAAGAGAAUACUUUGUUAUUUACUUCAUCAAAGCGCUGACUUUCCCUUCCAUAAUUUUUCAAUUUUUAUUGGAUGGUGAUUUCUUUUUGUCUUAAUUAAUCAAUAUUUAUCAAAAUAUUUGAGGUUAUUUACUUCAUCAUUAAAAAAAAAACAAAUCCUCUUAAAUAAAACAAAUUUAUUACUUAUAUACUAAGACGCAUGAGAUUUUUGUUGUAUAUUUGUCAAUGCGUGAAUUUUUUUUCAGUUUGGUUCCCAAACUUUAUUUUUAGGCGAUCAAGCUCUAUUUAAGAAGUAAUUGAUUUCAAAUUCUUAUGAAAGUGUGAGAUUGAAAGAGGAGGGACCGAAAUGAAAAAUGCGGCAAACAUAAGUUAUGUACCAUAAGUUUUGAAAAUAUUCACUUUGGUCUUCCAACUUAAACAAUCAUGUAAAUUAUAUAAUUGCAAUUCCUCGAAAUUGUUCUAAUUCUAUUUUGGUACAGAGAUUUACUUUUUUUAUUUUUUUUUGUCCCUGUUUGAAAGAGGAGAGAGAGAGGUUGCCGAAUUCCGAUGGUAGAAAGAGAAAUUUGUUGUUGGCACCAAUUUAGGCCACUAAAAUGAGGGAUUUUUGUGUCAAAUUAUUCCAUUUGAUACGGAGAAUUCAUAUCAAGUUUUUUUGUACCUUAAAAGUUCGUGAAAAAACAUAUUUAAGCUCGAAUUGAUUUUUUAUUUCGGGUUGAGUUCAGUUUUUUAGGUGUUUUUUUUAGAUCGUGACUAGGUUUGUCAUGAUUUCUAAGGUGUGUUAUAAGUGUUUUGGGUCAAAAGAGCAUAAACCCUUAUUUUUUUGGCAAUCACAAUGCUCAAAAUCUAGACAAAAUAGGUGACACGUCGUCUCCACGACAGACGACGCGUCGUCUGUUAUUGAUAUGGUUGUCAUAUCUAAGGCGCUUAAACCUAGCAUGGUUACCAUGAAAAUAUAAUUUUAAAGAAUGCAAUUGAAAAUAAAUAAUGUGACGUGAUCGGUUAAAAAACUAAAAAAAAGUGAACAUAACUUUCUCUAUUUUGUUUUGUUCAGAGGGUAUCUUUUAAAUAAUUUUGAUUUUUUUUUAUUAUUCGUUUAAUUUUUGUAAAGGUUUUUCUGGUUCAUCUAUAAUUUUGUUUUUAUCUUUUAUAUAGAUAAACUAUGUUUUUUUUAAAUAUAAAAUAUUUAUUUUUAGAUGAUUUUUUUUAAUAUUGUAGCCUUACAUGUUAUUUUUUUUUAUUCAAUCAAAUUAAUGUCCUAUUUUUUAAUAUUAAAUAUCUUGAUCUACAUUUGUCUCUCGAUCUUUUAAGUUUUGUUUUUAAGUGUUAUUAAUGAUUAUUUAUUUAUUUAUUAGUAUAUAUAAUUCUUAGUUUAUUUGAUUACAUGUGUGCAUAAACCUUUUGAUUUGUUAUAUUUUUUGAACUAUUAAAAUAAAUUGAAAAAACUUGCAUACAUAAAUUUUUAUGAGAAACAAAAAUAUUUAACUCACGAUGGAGCAUGAAUCACGCAGCUAGUAGUAACUAAAUUGUGGAAUCUAACUUUUAAAAUAUGUCAUAGUCAAAUUUUUUUAUUGAAACAAACUUUAAUAUUUUUCUUUGUUUUUUUAAAUAUUAAAACAUUGUUUUGAUAAAAAAAAAUUCUUAGUUCAACAAUAAACCUGGAUUGGGUUAGAUUUUAGGUUAGAGAAUCACUGAAUUGAUAGAAGAAUUGAAUUGAUAUUCUUUUCCUCGCUACCUUAGGCCCCGUUUGUUUGCUGGAAAGUAGUUUCCAUUUGAAAAGUGAAUUCUGGAAAAAUGAAUUAUUUUCUAAUGUUUGGUAGUGUAAUGAAAAAUAAGUUGGAAAACACUUUCCAGUGUUUGGUUAUGUCAUGGAAAAUGAGCUGAAAAAUAACUUAUUAAUGUUUUAUUUUUCUCAAGUUUAUUAAAAUAAUGAGGAACAAAUCUUACAAAUUAAAAAGUUGAAUGAGAAUGAAAUUGAAAAAAAAAUAUAAUUUCAUAAAUUAUCUCAAAUCAAAUAAGUAAUAAUCAAAAUAAUAGAGAUCAAAUCUAAAAAAUAAAAAAAAUAAAAGAUGAAGAAAUUAAAAUAAUAAUAAUUAACAUUUCAUAAAUUAUUUCCAAUAAAAUAAGUAACAAUCAAAAGAAUGAGGACCAAAUUCGAUACAUAAAAAUUUUCAAUAAAAAAAUGAUAAGGGAAAAGCAAAUAACAAUUAUAAAAAUAAGGACCAAAGUUAAUAUAAAAAUUAAAUUUUAAGAGAUGAAAUUGAAAAAAUAAUAUUCAAAACAAAAUAUAUAUAGCAAUCAAAAGUUUGAGGAUCAAAUUUGAUAUAAUCAGCAAAUAAUAUGACAUUUCUAAAUUUUUCACAACUUCCGGAAAGUGUUUUCUGCCCAAAUUUUCCAGGAAAACACUUUUCUGGAAACCAAGCCAAAUUUUUCUUUGACUGGAAAGUGUUUUUCGUUGACUAACUUUUCUAAUGGCAAACAAACACAGGAAAGUUUGGAAAAUGAUUUCGCAGAAAGUGAAUUCCGGAAAACAAACAUAGCCUUAGAAGUAACUAAGUGGAAAAUAUUUGAUAUGUUUCUUAAUUCAAAUGUGGGCACGUAGCAUAAUAUGACUCUAAUAUGUAAACCUAAGACCCAUGAUCAUCACACAAAAUAUGACUACAACAAAUAACAAAAUUAGAGUUAUAAGUUUGCUAGACACUAACAUCUAAAACACAAACCAAAACCCCUUUCUCCAAGCCUCUUAAGCCAUCUCUAACCACAUCCUUGAGCGAAGAGAAACUUGGAUGGAUCGAGAGUAAGUUGAUGAAUAUUAUGACCGCAUUCGAGAGUCCAUUUCUGCCUCACAUUUUGCUUUACAAUUAUGCAAAACCAAAUUCCAGAGAUCAGGCAAUAAAAUAUAUCCAUUCUGUGACGGUUGUAUCUCUUCAAGAUCGAGCUAAUCACUCAAGCUCAAUGUGUUUUUUGUCACGACCAUCUUGGUCCAGGAUUCAACAUUACCAUACUCCUCCUUUAAUCAUAUAUUGAUAUCGUUCAGUAUUAAAAAUAAAUACAAGAUGUAAAAAAUGAAAUGUUAAAAUUCAAACUUUAGAACAGUUAAGAUUUAACCCGAUAAGAUAAAAACUCUCUUAUGAAUAGAGAUCUGCCUUGAACCGUAAACAAGAUCAACAAAUAUAAACACGACCUAGAAAAACAAUCAAACAACAAUGUAGUUUAUCUUAAAUAAAACAAUCAAACAAUAAGGGGUUGCACAACUAGUCUCUUACCCGAAUUCUCAUAUGCCAUAAGUUUUUAAUAAUCAUGAUAUUAAAUGAAAAUUCCUGAAACUUAAUUAUAAUUUUAUGAUUGAACCAAAAUUUAUUUCUUUUCCUAACAAUACCACACCUCAUCAAAAGACACAAUAAAAUAUCUCCCGUCAUCGACGAUGUCGCGGCGCACCCCGCGACACUCUUCUGUUUUACAUCUGCUGGUUAUUUGAUUUGCUGUUGAAAUUUUCUCUAUUUUCCAUGUUGAAGGUGUGGUGGUUAUACUUUUGAUUGAUUUAAUUUGCUGUUGGGAGUUUGGUUUUCUGGUUUGUUUGGAUGGGUAACAGAUCUGCUACUCUUUAUCCUUUUCUGUUGUUUUGUUUAUGGUAGAACUCCCACCUGGAAGUAAAGGGUGAUAUUUUCGUCUCUCUCAUCUCACUCCUCAAAGAACGCCCUGGCUCGAUGAAAAAAGAGAGGAGAUGCAUGGAUAUGGAUCCGUUGGUUAUUUCAUCUUCUGUUAGGAAAUUUCUCUAUUUUGUAGAUUGAAGUAAUAGAUAUGUCCCUCUCUUUCAUUUUUUCUUUCAUUCCUUUCUUUGAGCUUAAUUUUUUCUCCUAACUUUUUUUUUAUUUUAAAAUUAUUUUAUUGUAAUUUUUUAAAAAAAUAAAAAUAUUAUUUUAAUAUAUUUUUAAAUAAAAAAUAUUUAAAUAAAUAAUUAUUAAUAUAUAUAUAUAUAGGGAAUGGAAACUUGAACUGUAAAAUUAUAAGAAAAUUUUUUUUAGUUGUUGUCAAUUUUUUAAAAUAUAUUAAAAUAAUUAUUAAUUUUUUUAUUUUUACAUAUUUAAAUAUAUUAAUAUAAAAAAUAAUAAUAUUUUAAUAUAUUUUUAAAAAAUUUUAAAUUUUUUAAAAAUCACUCUUGGACGUCUCAAAAUAAAGAAGACGUCUUCGGUCCGGCUCAUGUUCCAAGGACGUCUCAAAAUAAAGAAGAUGUCUCAAAUAAAGAAGAGACCGAAGACGUCUUCGGUCCGGCUCAUAUUCAAAGGACGUCUCAAAAUAAAGAAGACGUCUUCGGCCCCCUCAUAUUCCAAGGACGCCACAAUUUCCUUGGACGCCACUUUCUCUGGAUUCUUCACACCCCGAUGCACAAAGGGUUUCUUCUCUUCUGUUUUAAAUCUGCUGUUUAUUGGAUGUGCUGUUCGAAAUUUUCUCUAUGUUCCAGGUUGAAAGUGUGGUGGUUAUCCUUUUGAAUGAUUUAAUUUGUUGGGAGUUUGGUUUUCUGGCUUGUUUAGAUCUGUAACAGAUCUAGGUUUUCUGGCUUGUUUGGAUCUGUUGGUUUUCUGGUUUGUUUGGAUCUGUAACAGAUCUGCCAUAAAUAUAUGGUUCUCUCUAUUUUCAAGCCACUGACUCUUUAUCUUUUUCUGUUGUUUUAUUCAUGGCAGGACUCUCACCUGGAAGUUAAGGGUGAUAUUUUCGUCUCUCCCAUCUCUCUUAUCAAAAGAGGGCCUGAAAGCUCUAGCUAGAAGGAAAAAAGAAAGAAGAGAUGCCAUGAAAGAAUUUGAUUAUUUGAUGUGUGGUUGAGAAAUUCAGCUGAUAUGAAACUGACAACAGUCCUUCUCUUCUCCCUCACCUAGUCUGGUUUUUUGUUUUUGUUUUUGUUUUUGUUUUUUUAAUCUCAGAAAACAACUCUCACCUGGUAAAGGGUGAUAUUUUCGUGUCUCUCAUCUCACACCACAAAAGAGGACUUGAACGUCCUAGAAUGAAGAGAAAAAAAAGAAUUGUUCUAGAUUUGUAAUUUUCAUGGGAGUGAUUGGCAAAAACAAUAAUAGAUGUUUGGUUCUCUCAAUGUUCCAGCCAUUGACUGUUUAUCUUUGUCUGUUUUUAUAUCGAUCAUCAUGGCCUCGGAACUCCAGGACGUCUUUUUCCUAUUUUUUCAUCUACCGCUCAGACGUGCACCCCAAAGGAGGUCUUGUUCUAGAUUUGUAAUUUUCAUGGGAGUUAUUGGCAAGAUACAUAUGGCUAUGUUUAUACUCUUAAUGAUUUGAUUUUUGAGUUGACUUUCUCGAGUUUUUCUGUUUGUGCUGAAAAAAAUAAAAAAAAUACAGCCUUUUGGAUGUCAUUUCAGAUAAAUUUUUGAUCUUUGGAUUGUGAUCUCCAAUCUCUUUGUUGAUAUUCAGCGCAUAAAAUUCAUUAAUUUGACAGAUAAAGUUUUGACUAAUUGAUUCUUUUUUGUUGCCUUGAAUUUCUACAUAUGCUGGAUAAAACAUUUGAUGAUGGCUAAAGAUACCAGGUGGGUGGAAACUCUGUACCAUAGCAUGUCCUUGUGCCAGGAACUUCUGAAUAGUACUGGAACCUCAUGUUGAAGAAACUGCUAAGUAGCUUCCUGAAGCUAAAUUUUCUGUAGGACCAGUGGUUCAGAAACACUACGCUUUUGCUUGGGUAGUUACUGGACAAAAUGCUUUCAAUCACUAUUCUCUAUCCAUUGCCUGAUCUAAAAGAUGCAAGGUAAUCAGUGGAUUUUUUUUCUUUCAAAUUCGUUUAUCUUUUUAUUGGAAAAUUUGGCAAUCUUCUAAUCCUUUAUCUAUUUGUUGUUCUUUUCAAAUUCAUUUUUAUUCAUUGCUUUUUUGUUCUCUAAUGCUGAAUUUAUUUGAAAAAAGUAGCAGGUUAAAACGAGAUUCUCAUCACAAAUCAUGAUCUCCCCUUAAUCAGAUAUAGCCUUAAAUUUGUUGGUGUACUUUGAUAUUGAUCAUUGUGUCCUCUAAUUCACUUUAUUUAAAUUGAUUUAUCAAAUUUGUGUUCAAAGUUAAUGAAUAAAUGAAAUUUAUCAUUAUGUGCUCAAAUUUAUCAAUCUUCUUCAGGGACUGGUUGAAUCUCAUGCGUGACAAAUGGCUUGCAGUUGGAGACAUAAUUGUUUUGACGAAGGAAGCAUUUGGAGAACAUGGAGUAAGCAACAUUUACCAAUUCAUCUGUUUUCUCUUGUUCUUGAUCUGCUUGAAUGAAAGGUUCUGAAUUAUAUAAUGUUGCCAAUCUAUCCAGUAUAUAAAGUGCACAAAUGGUUUUGGUUCAGUAUUAUACCUUUUGUUUUUGGGAGACAAAAAUAGCCUUGACAUAUAUCUUGUUAAUAAUACGUUUGUCUAUUGGAGUGUGUGUAUGAUCAAUUGAGUUUCAGAAAUCAAAUCAACUUUUGCAUUCCACUUUAAUUGUUGCUCUUAUCAAUAAGAAUGCAAACAUUUUCUUCCUGCUAUUCUAUAAAUUUUUGGCCAUAAAUGAAAAAACGGUAAAAUUAUAUUUUCUUUUAGUGAUUUUCUACCUAUCUUUUUGUGUACGGCCUCCAUCCUAUUAUUAUUAGCCCGUCUGCAAUUUUUAGCUGACCCAUUUUAUUUGGCCAUUUUGAAAGUCAGUUUUAUAACUAUCAGAAUUCCUAUUGCAUCCUUUAGGGCCUUUUAAAUGUACAAUACAAUAAUGCGUAGCAUCAGUUAACACAACUUAGUGAUUUUCCAAGUCAGCUAUUAUUAUUAGUGGUCCUAUUAUUAUUUCAAAGUUUUGCAAUUUGCAGGGGUCCCAUUUUAUUUCAAAGUCAAAAGUUUUAUAACUAGCAAAAUUCCUUUUGCGUCCUUUGACACCUUUUAAAUUUACAAUACAAGAAUGCAUAGUGGUCAAGACAGCUUAGGGGUAAAGCAAGAAUAGCAUGCUAAAGCCAACUCUAAUUAGUGGACUGUCGGUGCUUCCUUAAACCUUGUGUUUUUUUGUUCUUUUGUGAAAGGGCCGAUGUUAAUGGCACAGAGGGAGUAGAAUUUUCAAAUUUAACAUGUUAAAAUGAUCUUACACCAACAUGUCCUUUGUGCUAAUCAAACUCAGUACCCGAUUCAUCAUGAGAUUACUAAUCUGCAACUUAUGUUAAGAACCCUGAAUUUUGAAACUAAAUACCUUUGCCCUGUUUUCUUUCUUUUUUUGUUCGUUAAUGUUUCUUCAAUUUUGCUUUGGUCUAAAUUUUAAUGACCCUCCAAUUGACUUUGACUAUAUCCAUUCUUCUAUUCAAGAAAAAAUAUUUAAUAAUAUAUUUUUUCUCCCUUUUGUAUCAUUUCUUCUUGAUACCCUAUUAUGUAUGCAAGACAUAGUGCCACCUUUUUCUUGGUUUACCCGAUUCAUCUAUUAUUAUAGGUGAUAUUCAAUUUCAAGUACACUUAGAUUUUCUUUAUGACCUGGUAGAUAGUUGUCUCGCUCAUAGUCCUUAAUAAAUCUUCAGUAUAAUUGUUCUUCUUUCCAGUAAGCCUUCGCCAAAUUAUUUCAACUUUUUUAAACAGACACCUUUUAGGAUUUUGGUUCGCCUCUCUCUCAACCUUGAAUUUAUUUAUUUUUUUGGGGCAAGAUUCUCACUGUCUAUUCUUAAAGUUCAAUAACUAUUAAAUUUUAAUAUAGAUAAUUGUUUCUAAUACAAUGCUACCAAAAAAAAUAGUUAAGGAAAGAGGAGAUUAAAACCUUGAACAAAAUUUAGAAGCCCAAAAAAUGCAUCACAACUUUCUCUGACAAGCCCAUUUCAAACAGCCCAUUACCUUCACAAAGUCAAAAAUCUUGAUCAAAUCUAACAAAGUAAAUAAAUAAAAAUACAGUACAGAUCAAAAUCCCUAAACAGAUCAAAAUCCCUGACAAGCCUCAUUGCUGUAUCUGAAGAGAGCCUCGAUUGCAAAGAACGAAGUAAGUUUUUUUGUUUUUCUAUUUUGCAAUCAAGAAGCUCAAUUAAUAUGUAAAUUUGUUUGGGAUCUGGUUUGGUUUGUAGUCUAUGUCUGUCAGAUAUAUGUGUCAAUAGCUCCCUUAGAGCUCAAAAGAAUCUAGAUCUUGUUAAUUAAGUUCAUUAUUUGAACCUUACAAGUAAGUUUUUUGCUUUUGAAUUUCCAUUUUGAGUCAUGAAGCUCAAUUGCUAAGUGAAUUUGUUUGUUAUUCAUGGGUUCGUGUCUGCAGUCUCUUUCUGGUUAGGAAGUGUUGAGAUUUCUUGUAUAGAUACAUGUGACAAUGGUAGAUCUUAGUCUCUGUCCCAUAAAUGAAGCUCUGUAGUCUCUUUCUGGUUAGGAAUUGUUGAGAUUUCUUGCAUAGAUACAUGUGACAAUGUUAGAUCUUAGUCUCUGUCCCAUAAAUGAAUCUCUGGUUUAAGAAAUUGGGGGUUUUGUGGUUUACAGCUCAAAAGAAUCUAGAGUUAAGUUCAUUAGUUGAACUAUCCAGAGAUAGGAGAGCAGAGAAGGAUUAAUACAAUCAAGUAUUUGAUGGAAUAUGUAAGGUAGGUGAAGUGUGUGAAGAAAAGACUGAGAAAAGGAAAGAUGAGAUAUAAAAAAGAAGCAUUAUUAAAGGAAUAGAAUAAUUACAAAGAAUUCAGGAAGAAAUCAUAAUGCUCCAGAAUGAAUAUAAUUUUAUCUUUGCUUCCUCUUUACACAAGCACAAGUUCACCCACUUGAACUAACUGUUUAUCCCCUGAUUCUAACUGUCACCCAAACAAACUACUAACCCUCUUAACAAACAUUUUAUAAGAACUGCUAUGACAUGUAUGACUAUGAUGUAACCCCUUCGAUCCUUGUUAUUGAUGCUUGUCCAAUGUCAUUGAUGUAACCCUCCAUUCCUGACUCGGCACCUGUCAUAUGAAUCUUAGCAUCUCCUGCAACCCUGUCCUUGUCAUUGAUUCUGGUCCAGUGUUAUCCUCCAUUCCUGACUCAGCACCUGUCAUAUGAAUCUUAGCAUCUCCUCCUUGGAGCUGGAAAUUCUUGUGACAAAACACUUACAUCCAAACAGGUUGCAAUUUGGUCAAGAAUUCCUUAAAUGACUUACAAACGGUAAGAAUUUUACCCUUAAACAACCCAUUGCCUUUAGGCGCUUUCACAAACCCAUCUCUUUUCUGCUUCUUGUGUCAUGAUCAAUGAGUUUUGGCAAACCACAGCUCCUCUCUUCAACCCUUGCUGCUGCUACAUAGAUCUCUUGUAAGAUUAUUUUGAUCUUUUACUUGAAACAAUAAUGCCCAAAUUUUACAUUUGGGUAGAUGUGAAUGUGAGUUUGGCAGUACUAUGGCAUGGUAGAUGCUUCAUGCAUGCUCUGCAACUGCAUUAAGUUGCAGUGGCAUAUGGGAUAAAAUCAGAGCAAGUGGCUUCCAUUCUUUGAAUCGACGUAAGCUGGUUUAUGGGCUUUUGUUUGGCACGAAUCAUGUGGCAUGCAUGGUGAAGGGUUCCAGUCCCACCCCUCCCGUCCCCACUUCCCCACUUCCCCCCUUCCCUUCUCCUCAAAACAAACACUGCAAGUAGUUGCAGCAUUUAUUUUCAUCCUGAUCACUCUUUUAGUUAAACUUUGUACAUGCAUUACUUGUUUAUGUGGUCUAAAGCAGUUUUCGUUUUUAAUUGAUAGGGGAAUGGCAGGACAUGGAUGGUUUCUCCCUGCUACUGGAGUACUGGCCACAAUUAUCCAAUUGAAACCUGAAACUCUCACUCCAUCUAUUAUAAACGAUGCUAUCAUAACCAUGGCUGUUGUUGCUGUGCUCAUCCAUGUUGUAUGCAGUGCAUUUGAAGAUAUACUCGAAGCUGGUCACUUCAGAUUAAUUGCUGCCGGCACCGGUCAUCUGGCCAGAGCUCUUGCCAUUACUCUACUACUCAUAAUCUGCGUCCCAAAAAUUUGGUGGUUUCUUCUUUCCGCAUGGGUGUUGUUCUUUAUAUGGGUAACAUAUACUUUACUAUACAAUGCAGUUCACCUUCGUCAACGCCACGGCCAAGCCCAAGAGCCAAAUGAGUUGCCGAAUGAGUUGCCCUAAGAGCCAAAUAAUGAGUUGCCGAAUGAGUUGCCCUAAGAGCCAAAUAAUGAGUUGCCAGUGUAACCAUACCGAGCCCUUGAAGAGAUUCAUUUGUGUGUUCAGAAUCAUUUGUGUGUUUCUCACUGGUCGACGUCUAUAUCCAUUGAAGAGAUUCAUUUGUACGGUCGAUGAAAGACAGUUGUCUAUAUAUAUAUAAUUGCGUGGUGUGAUUGAACUUACAAGUGCUAUUUUUACCAGUAUGACCGCAACUUGGUAACGUUAUCUGUAAUAUAUUGUUUGAAUAC